UGGGGAAUAUUGCACAAUGGGCGAAAGCCUGAUGCAGCAACGCCGCGUGAGCGAUGAAGGCCUUCGGGUCGUAAAGCUCUGUCCUCAAGGAAGAUAAUGACGGUACUUGAGGAGGAAGCCCCGGCUAACUACGUGCCAGCAGCCGCGGUAAUACGUAGGGGGCUAGCGUUAUCCGGAAUUACUGGGCGUAAAGGGUGCGUAGGCGGUCUUUCAAGUCAGGAGUGAAAGGCUACGGCUCAACCGUAGUAAGCUUUUGAAACUGUCUGACUUGAGUGCAGGAGAGGAGAGCGGAAUUCCUGGUGUAGCGGUGAAAUGCGUAGAUAUUGGGAGGAACACCAGUUGCGAAGGCGGCUUUCUGGACUGUAACUGACGCUGAGGCACGAAAGCGUGGGGAGCAAACAG
rnacentral:rRNA from 1 species